rnacentral:rRNA from 1 species
AACGUAGGAGGCGAGCGUUAUCCGGAGUUACUGGGCGUAAAGCGCAUGUAGGCGGUUGGAUAAGUUGCGUGUGAAAGCUCCUGGCUAAACUAGGAGAGGACAGGCAAGACUGUUCGGCUAGAGGGUGGUAGAGGGGCACAGAAUUCGGGGUGUAGCGGUGAAAUGUGUAGAGAUCCCGAGGAAUACCAGUGGUGAAGACGGUGCCCUGGGCCAUACCUGACGCUGAGGCACGAAGGCCAGGGGAGCAAACGGG